AAACCGGUGUUAUUCAACACCACCCUACUUGGAAGUCGAGACAGUUU
rfam:Helicosporidium sp. ATCC 50920 contig-3733, whole genome shotgun sequence.